rnacentral:rRNA from 1 species
UACAGAGGGGGCAAGCGUUGUUCGGAAUUACUGGGCGUAAAGGGCGCGUAGGCGGCCGCCUAAGUCAGACGUGAAAUCCCUCGGCUCAACCGGGGAACUGCGUCUGAUACUGGAUGGCUUGAAUCCGGGAGAGGGAUGCGGAAUUCCAGGUGUAGCGGUGAAAUGCGUAGAUAUCUGGAGGAACACCGGUGGCGAAGGCGGCAUCCUGGACCGGCAUUGACGCUGAUGAGCGAAAGCCAGGGGAGCAAACGGG